CGGGUGAGUAAUGUAUCGGAACGUGCCCAGUCGUGGGGGAUAACGCAGCGAAAGCUGUGCUAAUACCGCAUACGAUCUAUGGAUGAAAGCGGGGGAUCGCAAGACCUCGCGCGAUUGGAGCGGCCGAUAUCAGAUUAGGUAGUUGGUGGGGUAAAGGCCCACCAAGCCGACGAUCUGUAGCUGGUCUGAGAGGACGACCAGCCACACUGGAACUGAGACACGGUCCAGACUCCUACGGGAGGCAGCAGUGGGGAAUUUUGGACAAUGGGCGCAAGCCUGAUCCAGCAAUGCCGCGUGCAGGAUGAAGGCCUUCGGGUUGUAAACUGCUUUUGUACGGAGCGAAAAGGCUCUCUCUAAUAAAGGGGGCUCAUGACGGUACCGUAAGAAUAAGCACCGGCUAACUACGUGCCAGCAGCCGCGGUAAUACGUAGGGUGCGAGCGUUAAUCGGAAUUACUGGGCGUAAAGCGUGCGCAGGCGGUUAUGUAAGACAGAUGUGAAAUCCCCGGGCUCAACCUGGGACCUGCAUUUGUGACUGCAUAGCUAGAGUACGGCAGAGGGGGAUGGAAUUCCGCGUGUAGCAGUGAAAUGCGUAGAUAUGCGGAGGAACA
rnacentral:rRNA from 1 species